rnacentral:lncRNA from 1 species
UGCCAGCCCAAACGCUUGCAAGUUUGUAUGUGUCUGUGUUCUGGGACUACCCCAUAGUCUCACAAUCAAUGUGCUGCCCCCGUUGGGGGUACCAGGAAUCCUUGCCCAGUGGCAGGAACAGCAGAGAAGCGGUUAGAGCUGGGCUCUAGUACCGCCCCAAUACGGUAGCAAGGAGGGCCAUCCGCAUGUACAUGCCAUUCUCAGCCUGCCGGAAGUAGGCAGCCCUGGGGUCGGAGUCCACCUCCACACUGAUCUCGUUGACUCGAGGCAUUGGGUGCAUCACAACCGUCUUCUUGGCCCGGGUCAUGAUGUGGGGAGUGAGGAUAUACUGGCCGACGCAAGCUUCAUAUUCCUGACUGGAGCCAAACCGUUCCUUCUGAAUCCGAGUCAUAUAAAGGACAUCUGUGUCAGGCAGUGCCUCCUCAAUGCUCUCAAAUUCCUUCUGCUUAGUCCCUCUGGAAGCUACAAAAGACAAGACAUCAGGGGGCAUGCGCAGGCUGGGGGGUGCCACAUAGCGAAGGCUGACUCGAUAUUGGGUUAUUAUAUCUUUGACUAUAUGGAAACAAGUGACAAAUGGAGUGGGAGGAGAUUACUGCAGGAGAAUGCUACCUUGAUUCCAGAGAAUACAGAACCCUGGCCUGGUAAAAACUGCACUGACCCUGGUAAGAAUGAGUUGGCUACUUAUCUUGCAAACUGUGGUAGUCUCUUCCAAAUGUUAUUAUUCCACGGGCACAC